rnacentral:rRNA from 1 species
GAUGAACGCUGGCGGCGUGCCUAAUACAUGCAAGUCGAGCGAAGCGGGGACGGGGGAGUAACACGUGGAUAACCUCCUAUAAGACUGGGAUAACUUCGGGAAACCGGAGCUAAACCGGAUACUUAUAGAUGGAUCCGCGCUGCAGUAGCUAGUUGGUAAGGUAACGGCUUACCAAGGCAACGAUGGAUAGCCGACCUGAGAGUGUGAUCGGCCACAGUGGCACUGAGACGCGGUCCAGACUCCCAGGAGGGGCAGCAGUGGGGACUCCUCCGAUAUGGGCGAAAGCGUGACGGCGCAACGCCGCGUGAGUGAUGGACGUCUUCGUAUUGUAACUCUCUGUUAUUGGAGAAGCGGUACCUAAUCGGAAAGCCCCGCCUACCUCCGUGCCAGCCGCCGCGGUAAUC